UACGUAGGGGGCAAGCGUUAUCCGGAUUUACUGGGUGUAAAGGGAGCGCAGACGGCAGUGCAAGUCUGAAGUGAAAGCUCGCAGCUCAACUGCGGAACUGCUUUGGAAACUGUACAGCUAGAGUACCGGAGGGGUAAGCGGAAUUCCUAGUGUAGCGGUGAAAUGCGUAGAUAUUAGGAAGAACACCGGUGGCGAAGGCGGCUUACUGGACGGUAACUGACGUUGAGGCUCGAAAGCGUGGGGAG
rnacentral:rRNA from 1 species